rnacentral:rRNA from 1 species
UACGAAGGGGGCUAGCGUUGCUCGGAAUUACUGGGCGUAAAGCGCACGUAGGCGGUCUUUUAAGUCGGGGGUGAAAUCCUGGAGCUCAACUCCAGAACUGCCUUCGAUACUGGAAGACUUGAGUCCGGGAGAGGUGAGUGGAACUGCGAGUGUAGAGGUGAAAUUCGUAGAUAUUAGGAAGAACACCAGUGGCGAAGGCGGCUCACUGGAUCGGUACUGACGCUGAGGUGCGAAAGCGUGGGGAGCAAACGGG